UCCUUGGUAGCUCUGACGGUAAAGAAUCCGCCUGCAAUGCGGAAGGCCUGGGUUCGAUCCCUGGGUUGGGAA
rnacentral:tRNA from 1 species